CACUUAUCUAGAGUGGCUGAGGGACUGGCCCAUCGAAGCCCGGCAACCUGCUAAAAGCAAGGUGCCAAUUCCAGCAAAAUGUCCAGCAUUUUGGGAGAUAAGGU
rnacentral:ncRNA from 17 species